rnacentral:tRNA from 1 species
UAAACCAAAAGCUUAGGUUAACCAAACCGGGGGCCUUCAAAGCCCCAAACAAGGGCCGUUCCCCCUUAGCUUUUG